GACGAGCGCUGGCGGCGUGCCUAAUACAUGCAAGUUGAGCGAUGAAGAUUGGUGCUUGCACCAAUUUGAAGAGCAGCGAACGGGUGAGUAACGCGUGGGGAAUCUGCCUUUGAGCGGGGGACAACAUUUGGAAACGAAUGCUAAUACCGCAUAACAACUUUAAACAUAAGUUUUAAGUUUGAAAGAUGCAAUUGCAUCACUCAAAGAUGAUCCCGCGUUGUAUUAGCUAGUUGGUGAGGUAAAGGCUCACCAAGGCGAUGAUACAUAGCCGACCUGAGAGGGUGAUCGGCCACAUUGGGACUGAGACACGGCCCAAACUCCUACGGGAGGCAGCAGUAGGGAAUCUUCGGCAAUGGACGAAAGUCUGACCGAGCAACGCCGCGUGAGUGAAGAAGGUUUUCGGAUCGUAAAACUCUGUUGGUAGAGAAGAACGUUGGUGAGAGUGGAAAGCUCAUCAAGUGACGGUAACUACCCAGAAAGGGACGGCUAACUACGUG
rnacentral:rRNA from 1 species